rnacentral:rRNA from 1 species
AGCUCCAAUAGCGUAUAUUUAAGUUGUUGCAGUUAAAAAGCUCGUAGUUGGAUUUCGGUUGAGAGCGGCCGGUCCGCCGUUUGGUGUGCACUGGCUGGUUUCAGCUUCCUGCAGAGGACGCGCUCUGGGCUUAAUCGUCUGGACGUGGAGUCUGCGUGGUUACUUUGAAAAAAUUAGAGUGUUCAAAGCGGGCUUACGCUUGAAUAUUUCAGCAUGGAAUAACACUAUAGGACUCCUGUCCUAUUUCGUUGGUCUCGGGACGGGAGUAAUGAUUAAGAGGAACAGUUGGGGGCAUUCGUAUUUCAAUGUCAGAGGUGAAAUUCUUGGAUUUUUGAAAGACGAACUUCUGCGAAAGCAUUUGCCAAGGAUGUUUUCA